rnacentral:rRNA from 1 species
UACGUAGGUGGCAAGCGUUGUCCGGAAUUAUUGGGCGUAAAGCGCGCGCAGGCGGUCCUUUAAGUCUGAUGUGAAAGCCCACGGCUCAACCGUGGAGGGUCAUUGGAAACUGGGGGACUUGAGUGCAGGAGAGAAAAGUGGAAUUCCACGUGUAGCGGUGAAAUGCGUAGAGAUGUGGAGGAACACCAGUGGCGAAGGCGGCUACCUGGACAGAAACUGACGCUGAGGCGCGAAAGCUAGGGGAGCAAACAGG